CAGCAGCCGCGGUAAUACGGAGGGAGCUAGCGUUGUUCGGAAUCACUGGGCGUAAAGCGCACGUAGGCGGCUAUUCAAGUCAGGGGUGAAAGCCCGGGGCUCAACCCCGGAACUGCCUUUGAAACUAGAUAGCUUGAAUCUUGGAGAGGCGAGUGGAAUUCCGAGUGUAGAGGUGAUAUUCGUAGAUAUUCGGAAGAACACCAGUGGCGAAGGCGACUCGCUGGACAAGUAUUGACGCUGAGGUGCGAAAGCGUGGGGAGCAAACAGGAUUAGAUACCCCCGUAGUCCCUGUCUCUUAUAC
rnacentral:rRNA from 1 species